AGAGACCCUUCUCUUCUUUCUCCUCUCUCUCUCUCUUUCCCUUUUCUCACAAACCCUAGGCGCCGCUUUCAUCAUCUCGUCUCUCUCCGUGCCUAAAAUGGAAAAUUUACAGAGGAUUCAGAGUAACAACAACUACAUAACCAUUGCGGUGAAACAAUACCGUAACAAUUAAUGUUUCCAUGCUUUUUCAUCUAAGUCCCCUCCAAACGCAGUGCUAAUCUCUUCCCUUUUACUUUUUUUUUUCAAUUUUUUAGUCAAGCAAUUCGAUUUUUCUAUAUCUUUGUUAUUGUUGUGUGCUGGUACGAUCGAAUUUCUAUUGGUUCCUCAAUGUUUGGCUCGGAUCGACCUAAGAUGGGUCAGAUCCGACCAUAUACGUUGUAUUUUUCAGUAAUCUUAGCCGUUAAGUUCAUAAUAUGAAUGUUUGCAUCUGAAAAAACCACCUUGUACCACAUCGGUGCUUUACUUUGUUGAAAGAUUUUUGGGGUUCUAUAAAUAGAACCCCAACCCUCACUAUUUCACAAGUUUUUUUGACAACCUCAAGAGGCUAGAAUUUUGAGUUUAAGCUUCUCAGUAUAAAAAUUUUAAACUUUGACCUUAAAAGUUGGAGUUUCCCCUAAGUUCUAAAAAUUAUUUUCUUUUGUUUUGUGUUUUGUGUGGCUGAGUUUCGAAAUUGGAAGCACAAGGCUCCAAGGUCCAUUCUUUUCUCGGUUGCGCAUAUAAAAGCCAAAACCUUUUGGGCCUUCAAUUCAUCCAUAACACAAACAAGUCUAUCUAGGGGUUUAGAUGCUGAUAUUAUAGAUGCGGAUGAAGGCCUAGCCUUGGGUGAAAAUGGUUAACUAGGGGUUUGGUGCGCACCCCUAGCCUAAUCCUCUCUUUGCUUAUGUUAUUUUAAUCUUGAAUGUUGUAUUUGUAUGAACAUGUAAAACAUCACAUUAUAUUGGAAUUUUUAUGUUAGAA